rnacentral:misc_RNA from 1 species
GUGAAGCCCUCCGUGGGUGUUGAUCUUUGCUGAGUUCUAGAAGAUUUAUUUGUUGAUUCUCGUGAAGAAAUUUAGCUGCUCCAGGUUUUACGUUCUUCAAGUGUCCACAACUUCCUGAUUUGACUUCAGGAUGAGUGCCUUUAGGUGGUGAUGCAUAAUAUGAUUGUGAUGUAGGGCGAUGAAUCUUUCGAUGGGCAGGGGAGCAGCUUCGGGCUCUACUAGAAUUGGAUGAAGAUCCCUCCAUUGAGGAAAUUGAGAAAGUAU